UAAACUGGCCUGCGCGGCUCUCCGCUGGACAACUGCUUUUCUGUUACCACCCGGUAUUGCUUGCCACAGCGUCUGGGUUGCCUGUUCUCCUUCCCAAAGAAAUUGCUCCAGGCCGUGCUUUACAGUAGGAAAGAAACGGGGGGAAAAACUAAACACGAGGUUGUGCUUAGAAACCUUGGUCUAAACCAGCCUGCUAGCCUGAGGCGGGCAGAGAACGUGACGGGUACCGAUACAAAACCAGGAGAGAGUGGUGUUACCUAGUACCCGUGUGCAGCACCGUACUUUUGCACUUAAAAAGCUUACAGGUACAACGUGGUUCACAUGCAGCGUUAGCAACGUUAAACAGAACGGUGGUGUUUAUUACCUGUAUUAUCUUAGUGCACAGGAGCCCCAGUCACAGGCUAGGAUGCCAUUUUGCAAGAUGCUGUACAAACAGAACAAAGAGCACAUGUCCUAAGUACGUAACAAAAGGCGGCAGUUAGACGCAGGUAGAUGGCAGAGUGCAGGCAGACAAUGAGGUGCUAUUGGUCAGCAUGGUAGUGGUCAAAGCUAUUUUUGCCGCAUUGUCUUUGUCAAGAAACGAUGGGAUUUCGAGAACAAAGUAUACCCGAGGGGAUCUUUACCCAAGUGUAUGAAAAAACAUAACUGAAGAUGUAGACUUCUUUGAAAAUUAAGCAAGUGGAUAAUGGAGAAACUUUCUGAUUCUGAAGGCAAAGUUGUCAAAAAGAAUUUCGGCUAGAAAUACUGGGGUAUGCCGAAGAAAAGGAAAAUGUAGGAGCACAAGAGAAGGCCAGUGAAAGCACCGAGCUGUCCCAUGUCAUCUCUGCAACUGAAACAGUCGUGGUUUGUCACAGGACUGAGGGCAAGGAACAUGCAGUGUUCAGUUCACAAGAGGCGAUGAAGAAAACCAGACAAAGCAACUCCAACCAAAUCCUGAAGUUCGUCCAGUAAAAGGACAUUACCCUAGGAUGGACAAAAAUGUACCACAUUGCUGACAAGCCUGGGUGAGAGUACCCAUGUUCCUCGGAGAACUGUAUUUCUUUCUUCUCUGAAAAGUACUGACUUUUGUCCGUUUAUGGAAUCAUGUUUCAUUUCUGAAAUAGACUGUUUGAGCCAAUGAUUCCGUUUUCAGGAAAGCAUCUUUUAGCAGCAGUGCAGGAGAGCACAUGGAAGGGGUGAGCGUAAUAGUCAAAUGCUUAUUCAAGAGAUUUAGGAGGACUUUGCUACCAACUGACAAAGUUGGGACUUCUGUAGCCAGACAUUUUGUCAUCCAGUGAUACCCAUGUGAACCCAGAAAACUCAUGUCUUCUGCUGAAUAUUUGUAUGCCACGUGACCUAGAUAGUUUGAAUGACAAAAUUGAUGCGUCAGUAUUAGCAGUCCUUAAAAAAAUGUUUCAGGGAAAGAAAGGGGAUGAAUGAACCUUCAUUUUGAAUUUCUUUAGCUUUAAGUUUGAUUUCAUCUAGAAGUACAGUAGUUCCGGAAUAGUUAUUUGCACCCUAUUUUAAUUCAGCUGAGCUAAAGUAAACACAUCUUUAAGACAGAAGGGAUGGGCAGUAUAUUUGUCUCUCUGUACAUCAGGCAUUCACUCUCUAGCUAGUGUUUGGUCUCUUACUAUCUUAAAAUUGACUUUUUUAUAGCAUUGUACUAGGGAAGUGCUCGCGGUAUGAUUAUGAUAUUGAAUAUGAUAUUAUGCUGAUAGCUUUGUGGAAGUUAAAGAUCUAAUAGUAUUUUCAACAUCUUAUGGUAUAAAUGUUCUGGCAUGCAUGACAUGUCAGUUAAAAGUUUAUUCAUAUUAAAGAGGAUGUGAAAGGGGGUGGUAGCAAUUUCUAAGUAUCUUUUUGUGUGAAAAUUCUUGCUGCAGAGAAAAUUACAGUUGUUCCUGAAGAAAGUGUUCACUUAUGAGGUUAUUUAAGAAUAGGUUGUUGCUGUGCAAAUCCAUAUGAAGACUUGUCGGUUAGUCAAUACUUGAACCAUUGUUGCGCACAUCAAACCUAUGCCACUUGGCUGCAUUACCAGCAGCUUAGGCAAUCAAGUAAUCACUUCGUCACUGCUUGAAUUUAAAAAACUCUCCACAAAGACAAUUAUCAUCGUAUUGUACAUAAACCACCUUUUAAUCCCUAUUUAUAAAAAGGAAAACUACAUAAGUAUAAAAUUGCACUGGAACAAAUGCACGUUAUUCCAGCACAGUAUAUCUGUUUUGCUUGGGUUGCACUGAUAUAAUAAAAUCAACACAAUUAAAUCAAUUCAUG